rnacentral:rRNA from 1 species
UACGAAGGGGACUAGCGUUGUUCGGAAUCACUGGGCGUAAAGCGCACGUAGGCGGAUUUGUAAGUCAGGGGUGAAAUCCCGGGGCUCAACCUCGGAACUGCCUUUGAUACUGCGAAUCUUGAGUCCGAUAGAGGUGGGUGGAAUUCCUAGUGUAGAGGUGAAAUUCGUAGAUAUUAGGAAGAACACCGGUGGCGAAGGCGGCCCACUGGAUCGGUACUGACGCUGAGGUGCGAAAGCCAGGGGAGCAAACGGG